rnacentral:rRNA from 1 species
GCCGGGGGGGGUGCUUACACAUGCAAGUCGAACGAUGAAGCCCUUCGGGGUGGAUUAGUGGCGAACGGGUGAGUAACACGUGGGCAAUCUGCCCUGCACUCUGGGACAAGCCCUGGAAACGGGGUCUAAUACCGGAUAUGACUGUCCACCGCAUGGUGGAUGGUGUAAAGCUCCGGCGGUGCAGGAUGAGCCCGCGGCCUAUCAGCUUGUUGGUGAGGUAGUGGCUCACCAAGGCGACGACGGGUAGCCGGCCUGAGAGGGCGACCGGCCACACUGGGACUGAGACACGGCCCAGACUCCUACGGGAGGCAGCAGUGGGGAAUAUUGCACAAUGGGCGAAAGCCUGAUGCAGCGACGCCGCGUGAGGGAUGACGGCCUUCGGGUUGUAAACCUCUUUCAGCAGGGAAGAAGCGAAAGUGACGGUACCUGCAGAAGAAGCGCCGGCUAACUACGUGCCAGCAGCCGCGGUAAUACGUAGGGCGCAAGCGUUGUCCGGAAUUAUUGGGCGUAAAGAGCUCGUAGGCGGCUUGUCACGUCGGUUGUGAAAGCCCGGGGCUUAACCCCGGGUCUGCAGUCGAUACGGGCAGGCUAGAGUUCGGUAGGGGAGAUCGGAAUUCCUGGUGUAGCGGUGAAAUGCGCAGAUAUCAGGAGGAACACCGGUGGCGAAGGCGGAUCUCUGGGCCGAUACUGACGCUGAGGA